CGAGCUGGGCCCGCCCUUGAAUGCCGGACUGAAGAUUCUGCACAUCGGGUUGAUAGGGAUAAAGCUGCAUUGUGGUUGAGUAUGAUAGCUUCUACGUUAGAGAAGGCAUCUACUUUAUUUAUACAGGGAUCAACUACAAGCAGCAUGUUAAUGUGACAGAUGAAGCCUUAACAAAAGUGGUGAUUCAAGCACCUGGCUUAAACUGAAAGGUUCUGUCAGAGACGCAAGCAGUCAUCUGGAUUCAACAGGCUGCUGUUAUUGAUGUUCUUGUCGUUGCCGCUUCUUCAGGAGAUCAGUGUUUGGCGUUUGAAGAGGCUAUGUAUUGUUUUUCACAUGUGGUCAGCUGCAAGAUUUGCCCAGCUGUCAACAAUGUUUGAAAGCUCAAGGCUGUGCUACAGCAUGUUCCUGUAUGUCUUUGAUUACCCACCCAAUUUAUGUACCUCUGCUCCAACUUGUAAAGGAUUUUUUUUGAUAUUCUGGACCCCUGACCAGAGCAGCUCUGCUUGUAUCAACAUGGCCUCAUCAAUGUCCAUGGUUUUGCCAUAAUUGAGGAUCUUGCCAGUGAUCAUUUUCUUCAGAUGUGUCAUGCCCAGUGAAGGCAUGUCAUAUUCCUAACUUUUAAGACUCAUGCUUUAUUCAGUGUGGACUCUUUGAAAUUGUCCACUUUAUAGAGGAAAAGUCAAUGUGUUACAAAGAUGGCUACUGAAGGUCAGAUGACCAGGCUUCUGUAUUCAAAAAUGGACUCUGUCUAACAGAGACAAAAGGAGACAUCCCAAGCAAAAAGGUGGCAACUACACACACCCUGAUAGCAUCAAAACACAAUCGCAAAUUAUAUGAUUUGAAAAAAAGGUGAUUGUUUUAACCCCCUCAGGAUAAUUGUCUUCAAACAAUAAACUAGGAUGUGGCUAACCAACCCAAGACCAUGACCAUUUUUGGAAGAGGAACUGCAAUUGUGAAGGGUCACAUGAUAAGGCAACCAUGUUUGCUCCUUUGUAACCUUUAAAUGCUGAUUGCAGAAAGUAAGAGACAGCAGCAACAAGCCAGUAACACCUAUGCCUUAAAAGAGCCGGAGGCCAUAACAUUGUCCCUACGAGGGAAUCCUGAAAUGACUUUGGCAGACGUUUUUGGCUGUUGGACUUACCUUAACUACACUUCAGGAGUGAAGAUAUCUUUUUCAUCAGGCCUGCAACUUGUGUUUUCCAGGACAAGACAUAAUGUGAAUUGGUAAAUAUUCUUUUGCUUAUGACCUGUUAAAGCGCAGUAUUCUUUUCUAUUGUAUUUUCCUUGAUUGCGUUAUGUGUGUGACUUUGUGAAUUAAUGCCGUAGCGUUAGACUUGGGGGUGACCAUGUAAAUAAACAAUCCUCUUUAUCUAAA